AGUAGGCGUAGGCCAAUGGUAUCUAGGCAUGCGCACUAACGGCGUGUCUAUUGGUCAGGAGGUCAUAACACUGGGGGGUAGGUGUGUCGGGUAUUCUGUGGAUCACCUAUAGGGGAUAUAUAUCGAACCAGUGCAGAAUGAAGAUAACCCUGAUCCUCCAAACACCCUGAUCCUCCAAACACCCUGAUCCUCCAAACGUCUGAGCGCUAGGCUAAGCUAGUAGACUCGUCAUAGCGGCUGCAGAAGAAAGGAGAAGAAAGAAAAACAGCUACUACAACCUGCACAACUAUGCCUACUGACUGUAAGUAUUCAUAUGAGUGUAAUAUGUUAUUAUUAUUAUUAUUAUAUCAUGACUAUGACCAUGUGUAUACGCGGCCCAUAUCUGAUUGAUACAUAGUUUUUCCGUAGUGAUUUCUGACGUCGGCUAUGAGAGCGUGAAAAGGCAUCAGGUUCCACGCGCACGUAAGAUGAUUUUAUAGCAACGUAUAAUAUAUAGAUCCCUCACACUCUCUAUCAUUAUUAUUAUUAUCGGCUAUAAAUAUAUGCACAUAGAAUAACCGCUAAAUCGUAUGUUUCUGUCGUGUAGCAGGUGCUGAUAUUCGGUUGAAUAAUCAAAGAUCGAUGCUCGGUGAUCGGACCAAUGUGGGGGCCAGCAGUAGUUAUGUACCUAUCGUGGAUGGUGUGAAACAGUGGACCCCUGGAUCAAACCGUCUAACCAAGAAAAAUAACAAAAGACCCAAUCUAGGACCGGCUCUACCUCUACCCAGCUCUCCGCUAGCAGUGGUGCAACAGCAGAUCCCGUAUAAAAAGGGACGCAAGGACACCGCACAUAGUGUUUUAACUCCAGAGAAUUUUAACUUGGUUCUCCAUGCUGUCAUAAACCCUGAAAUCGCCCACCACGGGGGUGGAUGGUCUGAGUCCAAACAGCCGUUGAUUGAGACAUCGGUUGUACCUGUGUCUGAGCCGGCUGCAGAGACCGUUACUGUACAGCCGGAUGGAGGCAUUCAGCAUGUCCUUGGAGACCCUCAGGAUGCACCACUACCAGAACUGACCGAUGAGGAUCUCGAGGGUCUUACCGACGUUCCGUUGUGGCCCUCAGCGCUGUUGGAACAGCUCGACUUCACUCCCGCUCAUUGGAUAGACCCUCCAGCUACUUCCGUAGUGGGUACCACCAGGGCAGAGCCUGUAAACCAUCAGCCUGCAGCCCCCGCCUCUGGAUCACGACCCAUCCUCAUCCAGGCCUCUAUCCACAAUCCACCAGGCACUGUGAGUCGUCCCACCGCCAUCGGAGCAGUGGCUACGCUGCUACCCGACGGCUCAGCGGCUGCUGCUGAAUACAUUGCGGGUGGUCCAUGUACCAACUGUUGUAAGGAUUGUGUUGGUAAAUUAACCUUGGUAACUACAGCAGUUGAUGUAAACUCCUUAACCAUUGGUCGUCAGUGUAAACUGGGUGCAUUGUCUGUGAAACGUAUUGACAGCAGAUUUCAGACUAUCGAAGAGCAAACGGAGCAGUCACUCGAGACCAUCGGGGAAAUCAAGGACGAGCUAGUGCGUUACGGUCUGGCUAUAGAAUCAAUACAGCAGCAGAUUUUGGUUGUCGAGGCAGCAGUGCGUGUUAACACUCUGGCUUUGGAUAGGGGGCUUCUGAUAUCUAAUAUGGCGCGGAAAAUUUGGCUAAUUGAAACUACGGCGCAGGAUAACAUCAGGGCCUACAAGGCCAUGUCUGCCCGGAUGACUAUCAUGAAUGAUGCUCUGGAUAUGCUUACGAUGAAUCGUUAGUAUUUGAUUUGUGGUUUUGGGGUGUUCUUUUUAUUUUUUUUUGUUUGUUAUCUUUUUCGUUUAUUCAGUGGAGAGGGUUUUUUUGUUUUAAACUGAACGUAAUAAAACUUUUUUCUUUUAAUAUCUGACUAAUUAACUUUUUUUUUUUUUAUCUAUUGGCAUAAAAACUAUAGCUGAACACAAUGCAUAAAGCUAUUAGCCCCAGAAAAAGGAAAUUCAAAUCUGUAGACGGUAAUCCCAAGAGACGGCGUAGAUCUGAUAGCGGGGGUAGCAUUAUGGAUGUAGAUCUUGAAGAGAUGGCUAUGAGGUAUGAUACAACCGGCGAUACGUCUGUAGGCCGUGUGGGGGGUGGGGGCAUGUGUGCUGAAGGUGGUUUAGACAUGCGGGAAAUACGUGCUGACAUAGCUAGAACUAGACGUGUGUUAAUUGAUGCUAAUGUAGGGGGUAAUAGAAUGACGGCUGCACUAGACAGGGCUGCUAUGAUAAAUGUUUCGAACGAUCCGUGUGCAGAUGGAGGGGAGGUGUGUGUGGGGUUAGAUGUCCCCGGGGAUUUAGACACACGGGAUGUGUUGUAUGCGGCGGCGUACACCAGAGAUGUACUUAACACUGUCGAUGGGUGGCUGGCUAGUGUACAAGAGAGGCUCGACAUAGCCGAGCAGAUAGACAUAACAUCACCGAUAGAUGUAUUGCAUGUGUCGCAACGUGACGAAGGGGAUGGUGAGGGUUUUCAGGAACCCCUGGCGGCUGCAGGGGGUAGGACUGGUGACUCUAUAGAGCCGAAUAUACAGGA
ensembl:lncRNA